rnacentral:rRNA from 1 species
UGGGGAAUAUUGGACAAUGGGGGCAACCCUGAUCCAGCCAUGCCGCGUGAGUGAUGAAGGCCUUCGGGUUGUAAAGCUCUUUUGGUGGGGACGAUGAUGACGGUACCCACAGAAUAAGCUCCGGCUAACUUCGUGCCAGCAGCCGCGGUAAUACGAAGGGAGCUAGCGUUGUUCGGAAUUACUGGGCGUAAAGGGCGCGUAGGCGAUUUGGCAAGUUGGAUGUGAAAGCCCUGGGCUUAACCCGGGAAUUGCAUUCAAGACUGCCUUAAUUGAAUUCGGUAGAGGUGAGUGGAAUUCCCAGUGUAGAGGUGAAAUUCGUAGAGAUUGGGAAGAACACCCGUGGCGAAGGCGGCUCACUGGACCGACAUUGACGCUGAGGCGCGAAAGCGUGGGGAGCAAA